rnacentral:rRNA from 1 species
AUUGAACGCUGGCGGCAGGCCUAACACAUGCAAGUCGAACGGUAACAGGAAGCAGCUUGCUGCUUUGCUGACGAGUGGCGGACGGGUGAGUAAUGUCUGGGAAACUGCCCGAUGGAGGGGGAUAACUACUGGAAACGGUAGCUAAUACCGCAUAACGUCGCAAGACCAAAGAGGGGGACCUUAGGGCCUCUUGCCAUCGGAUGUGCCCAGAUGGGAUUAGCUAGUAGGUGGGGUAACGGCUCACCUAGGCGACGAUCCCUAGCUGGUCUGAGAGGAUGACCAGCCACACUGGAACGGAGACACGGUCCAGACUCCUACGGGAGGCAGCAGUGGGGAAUAUUGCACAAUGGGCGCAAGCCUGAUGCAGCCAUGCCGCGUGUAUGAAGAAGGCCUUCGGGUUGUAAAGUACUUUCAGCGGGGAGGAAGGGAGUAAAGUUAAUACCUUUGCUCAUUGACGUUACCCGCAGAAGAUGCACCGGCUAACUCCGUG